rnacentral:lncRNA from 1 species
GCCUCCUUUUCAUUUCUCCAGCUGCAAAUUGAACCCUAUGUCUCUCAGAGGUGAUGCUGGCUUCCCUGGAGGUGGGUCCUAGGGGCCCAGAGGUACACGAAGAGGGGAAGAAGUUUAGGCAAGUGCCUUUAGAGUCACAAGUGUCUUAGUAAUUGUUUUCUCUCUUCCACCAUCCCAACAGUCUCGAACAUAUCACCCGCUGAUAAAAACUCUGAAAGGCAAGAACUGAGAAAAAAAAAGAAAAAUAAGGAUGAAGACAUUCUCCAGAUAAUUACAGCAGGCAAUUAAUCUAAGAAGGGACAUCGUGGACUUUAGCACCCUGACUUCUGGCAUCCUGGGUGGGAAGAUGAAGAUGGUCAUACUGUGGGGACACGUUUCAAGCCACGUCCUGCAGGCUGUGAGCCAACUCCCAGGUCAUCAUGAAGGGCUGGGUGCCAGGGAUCUGAAUGGCUGA